CCCCUAGAUGUUCUGGGCCGCACGCGCGCUACACUGAACAGUUCAACAAGUCUUAACCUUGGCCGAUAGGUCUGGGUAAUCUUUGAACGCUGUUCGUGAUUGGGAUAGACCUUUGCAAUUAUGGGUCUUCAACGAGGAAUUCCUAGUAAACGCAAGUCAUCAGCUUGCAUUGAUUACGUCCCUGCCCUUUGUACACACCGCCCGUCGCACCUACCGAUUGAAUGGUCCGGCGAAAUCUCGGGACGGCGGCUUGGUCGCUUGCGUCCGACUGCUGAAACUUGAUUAAACCAUAUCAUUCAGAGGAAGGUGAAGUCGUAACA
rnacentral:rRNA from 1 species